rnacentral:rRNA from 1 species
UCAUCCUACGGGAGGCAGCAGUGGGGAAUAUUGCACAAUGGGGGGAACCCUGAUGCAGCGACGCCGCGUGAGUGAGGAAGUAUUUCGGUAUGUAAAGCUCUAUCAGCAGGGAAGAAGAUGACGGUACCUGACUAAGAAGCCCCGGCUAACUACGUGCCAGCAGCCGCGGUAAUACGUAGGGUGCAAGCGUUAUCCGGAUUUAUUGGGCGUAAAGGGCUCGUAGGCGGUUCG